rnacentral:snRNA from 1 species
GUGCUCGCUUUGGCAGCACAUGUACUAAAACGGGAAUAGUACAGAGAAGAUUAGCAUGGCCCCUGUGCAAGGAUGACACGCAAAUUCGUGAAGCAUUCCAUGUUUUU